rnacentral:rRNA from 1 species
GUUGGGUAUAAACCCGGGAAACUGGGUAUAAUACCCGAUAGGUCUCGAUUGCUGGAAUGCAUCGAGAUUUAAAGCUCCGGCGCCUAAGGAUGGGUCUGCGGCCUAUCAGGUAGUAGUGGGUGUAGCGUACCUACUAGCCUACGACGGGUACGGGUUGUGAGAGCAAGAGCCCGGAGAUGGAUUCUGAGACACGAAUCCAGGCCCUACGGGGUGCAGCAGGCGCGAAAACUUUACAAUGCGGGAAACCGUGAUAAGGGAAUCUCGAGUGCCAGCAUAUAAUGUUGGCUGUCCAGAUGCCUAAAAAGCAUCUGUUAGCAAGGGCCGGGCAAGACCGGUGCCAGCCGCCGCGGUAACACCGGCGGCCCGAGUGGUAACCGCUUUUAUUGGGUCUAAAGGGUCUGUAGCCGGCCAAGUAAGUCCCUUGGGAAAUCUGGCAGCUCAACUGUCAGGCUGCUAGGGGAUACUGCUAGGCUUGGGACCGGGAGAGGUGAGAGGUACCUUGGGGGUAGGGGUGAAAUCUUGUGAUCCUCGGGGGACCACCAGUGGCGAAGGCGUCUCACCAGAACGGGUCCGACGGUAAGGGACGAAAGCUAGGGGCACGAACCGGAUUAGAUACCCGGGUAGUCCUAGCCGUAAACGAUGCUCGCUAGGUGUCAGUCACGGUGCGACCGUGAUUGGUGCCGUAGGGAAGCCGUGAAGCGAGCCACCUGGGAAGUAUGGCCGCAAGGC